AAAAGUGCUGUUUGUGCAGGUA
rnacentral:miRNA from 2 species